rnacentral:lncRNA from 1 species
AGCUACAAAUAAGACUCUCAGACCAGAUGAGAUGCCUGAAAGAGGCUAGCUCAGGUGUUUGGAAGAAGUUUAGACCAUCAGACCAACUGAGUCACCUGGAACGGACUCUAGAGCUGUUGAGCUGCCUGCUGUGCCAUGUACUUCAGGUCCCCAGCUUUGUGAACUGUCAUCCAUGUCGGGUGGACCUGGCGAUACAGCUGUCUUUGAGUCAUUUCUACUCCUGCAGAUAAAGAAGAAAAGAGGAGCACAAGAUGAGACAUAUUAACCAGUUUAUUAUAAGCCCAGCAUAUACUACACCUGGAUGACCCUGCCCCCUAACGACAGGCAGGGCAUGCACAGGAAAACCUGCUAUGUCAUCACCACAUCGCCUGCCUCAGUGUGCAUGCGAAGCCGCCUUCGUGAAGCCGCCUUCCCUUUAAAAGGUCCACCCCACCCCCCCCACCCCCCGCUCCUCUUGGGUUGGCUGACAAUCCAACCCCACCAACCCCCUCUUCUUGUAAAUAAACUCCAUGUGGGUUGUUCAUCAGUAGCUUCUUUUCUUUACACCCGCAGCUGCAGAGUAAAAGAAUAACACAAACCUUUGCCAAUUGCUGCCCCUGACCCCACCUCAGGCCUCUGGGGUACCUCUUCCUCUAAUUUUGCCAUUGUAAGUGUUGCAGCUCUGGGAGAAAGGCUCCCCUGGUAAAAGUAUUGCAGCUCUGAGGGGGAAGGUUUCUGUCAUCAGAUCGAUUAAGCUUGAAUCUCCCAUUGUCUUUUAGAUAUAAGCUGGUUACCUCCAGAUGGCCUGGCCAAGGUGGAGAAUGGCUCCUGGUUUGUAUAACAAUAGACCUAGGCCCUGGAUGGGCCUACACCUAUUCUGAGGUCUAGUGAAACGUGCCUUGUGCUGGAAGACUGGGGCCCUUGUGGAAUGUCUGAGGGUUUGUGUAUGUGCUUCUAGGAUUAAAGGAAAUACUUGAUAUCAGCUUUAUACAUGAUAAUAGAUGUCUUCUGCUAUCACCCCCACUGUUGGAAAGCUAUUUAAGAGGACGCUUGAAUAAACCGUGGAC